AGUGAACGCUGGCGGUAGGCCUAACACAUGCAAGUCGAACGGCAGCACAGUAAGAGCUUGCUCUUACGGGUGGCGAGUGGCGGACGGGUGAGGAAUACAUCGGAAUCUACUUUUUCGUGGGGGCUAACGUAGGGAAACUUACGCUAAUACCGCAUACGACCUACGGUUGAAAGCAUGUGAUCUUCGGACCUUGCGCGGUUGAAUGAGCCGAUGUCGGAUUAGCUAGUUGGCGGGGUAAAGACCCACCAAGGCGACGAUCCGUAGCUGGUCUGAGAGGAGGAUAGGCGACACUGGAGCGGGGACACGGUCCAGACUCCUACGGGAGGCAGCAGUGGGGAAUAUUGGACAAUGGGGGCGAGCAUGAUACAGCGAGACCGCGUGGGUGACGGAGGCGUUCGGGUUGGAAAGACCUUUUGUUGGGAAAGAAAAGCAGCCGGUUAAGACGAAGCUGUUCUGACGGUACCCAAAGAAGAAGCACCGGCUAACUUCGUG
rnacentral:rRNA from 1 species